rnacentral:lncRNA from 1 species
CAAGUUCCUGUAUAUGCUGUCACUUUUCAAGAACCUGAGAAUGAUCCUCGGAAUUGCUGUUACUUGUGGGCUGUUCAGUCUACACAAGAUAGGGGUUAGAAUACUGUGAAGAAAGAUACACCCUGGACCUGACAGGUGGCAUGUUCCCUUUGAGGGGACAGACGAGUAAUACCAAAUUGUUGGGAUGCCAGAGUAUAGAGAAAUUUCGAUCUCAUGGUGACAGGGAGGAAGGUGUGAAUGAAGGUUAGUUAAAGUACUUGAAAUAUGUCAUGUGAAGGCUGG